rnacentral:lncRNA from 1 species
UCUCAAAACAGACAAAAACUGUCCAGCAGGCCUGCAAGACACCUAACUGUUCACAGAUGGCCCUGGAGGUUGCUCUCAGGAAGACAGUAACUAGACACAGGGUUUACAAAAGUUCCUGAGCCUAAAUGUACAGAAAAUGAGACAGCAGUGAAAGAGUUAAAGAAAACAAGACUAAGACAACACAGGACUCAGAAAUGUGGCUGACCACCUGACCAGAGCGGGGAGACCAGGGUCUGGAGUGACUGGUUACCUCUCUCUCCUUCCCACCCUCUCCAAACCCGCUGCUGUAGAACAAAGACAGAUCUUUGUAACAUUUCGGGUCCUGAUCUCCCCCACACCCUGUGAGCAACUGUCAAACUACAUUAGAGGCCACUCUGAAGACUGACCGACCAGGGACAGUUGCAGUCUGAGAACCUGGAGGUUAAUUCCUCAACACAUAGAGGGAUAUAGUCUUUAAUGAUCACAUUGCUAAUUUUAGUAUUUAAGGCUUACUUGGAAAUAAUCAUAUCCCUUCACAUAUUCAUCUGCUAAUCAUCUAUGUAGAUAAAAAGCUAAGAGAAAAAUACACAAUUUCCUAAUGG